rnacentral:ncRNA from 1 species
UUACGGACUUAAUUGAAUUGAGACUUGGUAUGGAAACCUACAAAGUGGUAGCUUCCAAAUUCAAAGAGACCUUGGAAUGAGAAAUGGGCAAUUCUAAGCCAAAUCCUAUUUAAAUAAAACAAGGGUUCCUAGAAAGCAGGAAGGAUAGGUGCAGAGACUCAAUGGAAGUUGUUCCAACAAAUGGAGUUAACCUCGUUGGUAGAUGAAUAAAUCCAUAUAUAGGACUCCGGAAGGGAUGAUCCUAUGGAUUGGUAUUGAAUUGAAAUAUUCAAUGAUUAAUUACGACCCGGAUCUUUUAUAUUACACAUUUCAAAAUUCUUAUGAAUGGAUCCCAAGUUGAAGGAAGAAAUAUUCAUUGAUCAAAUCAUUCACUCCAGAGUCUAAUAGAUUAUUUGAAAAACUGAUUGAUCGGACUAGAAUAGAAUAAAGAUCGAGUCUCAUUCUACAUGUCAAUCCUGG